ACAGAGACAAAGGAGACAAAGACGGAGGCUGCAUCGCCUGGUAUGCUGUCAGACCUUUCAAACAAAUCCUGCUGUGGAGAAAUGUCCAGUUUCCUGUGCACGAGGAGGGGAUAGCCAGGUUGAGCCUGGAUAUGGCAACAUCUCUGCUAAAAGACUCAGGUAUACUAUACAAGCACACCUAUGACAACCUGGAAUCUAUUGAAGUCCUUGUAACCAGUUUUAAAGAUGAGAAAGAGACUUGUAAUUUAAAAUUCUCUAUGUUAACAGUGCCAAGGAUCUCAUAGAUCAAAGCCUAGCCCAGCAAAUGGUCUGUGUGCUUGAUAGAUUAUUCGAGUAACGUGGAUUUCUUGGAAUAUAUUGAUGCUGACACGAGCGUAGACGUGAAGGACUUUGAUAGAUUCCAUAUCUACUUUUCAGCCAGAGGGCCCUAGGUGGAAACUGUCUUGGGGAGACUAAUCAAAAUCAGAACACAGUCAGCCCCCACAGUCACUACUUCAGAGGAAAGCCCCACAAAUUCUCAAGGAGUAUGAGACUGCAGGUAUAUGUCAAUGCCAGAGGAAACUCCUUGUGAAGGCUUGCAUAGGAGAUUUGGUGGAGAGGUGGGUUUGAAAGUAUUGCACCAUACCACACUUUGUCAAAACUUUAGCAUGAAUAUUUCACUUGACAAAAUGUUCAAGUGCACUGAAGCAACAAAAAGGGUACCUGUGUCAAUGUAUGAGGAAGUGGCAGUGUUUUUGUCCUAUUUUCCAUUUAACCUCUUAGUGCAGAGAAGCUGGCUGUAGUGUCCCAGUGGCAGGACAAGGGGAAAGAUUUGAGCAUUACUAUGAUCCAGUCUCUCACUGUGGAUUCUUAGAUUAAACUGUGCAACCUUAGACAGAAUCUUGAGCAAGAGCAGAGAAGUUAUAGGAAGCGAAAAGUGCCCAAUGACUGCAGUGGAGCUGAGAGGCCUGAUAUCACGGAGGAUUGGCGUGCCAGCAGCACAAAUGAGUGGGGUCACCCUGAUCAAAAGAUUGCAGCCUUCAGCUGAGAACAUUUCAGCUAUCGAGUCAGGCAUGGAGAAAACAUAGACCCCUUGCAGAGCCUGGAUUACCAAGUACUCCCCCACUGUUGCUGAAAAAUUCAAUGAGUACCCAUGGUUUUUGGACAUGCCAUGUCUGGUAGGUUGCUUGGUUCCCUGGUAGUGGCUUAUUUAGAUUGCAUUCACAUGAAAUCCAGGGGUGUGAGUUAGGGAUGCAUGAUGAUAUUGGCAUCAGCCCAAAAUGAACAUUUCUGCCAUAUGACAGGCUGAUAAGAUGAUUCUUUAAUUAUGCACAUGCAAUCUGUAGGAAACUAUGCAUUCAGCAACCCUGUUUAAAGGAGCAGGCAGCUGUUUUCAGCAAACAAGCUUUAUAAACCCACUGUACAUAAGAUGCAGCAAACAGCAGACAAAGUUAGGAACUAGCUGCUGGAAAGUUGACCAUCUAGUAGCUAAAGAGCCAGAUAUACUUCUCAGGAGUUGGUGGAAACCAAACCAGAGCUAAAAGGAGAGGGGAUAUUGGACUUGCAUUCAAACACCACUCCAAAUAAAUGCUAAUGUUGCUCUGUGUCUGAUGUGGAAGUGGGUAGCUGCAACAUGUUAGCCUUUUUUUCCUGGUGAAAAAAAAUUUGGUAAAAUUAAUGCUGCGCCAUUUCAUUUAUAAGGAGGAGCUGAUGACUUUUGAAAAGCUGAAUGACCAGAUUUCAAGUUUUCAGGACGGAUAUGGAAAUGUGAAAAACAAGCCAAGUACUUAAGGUCCAGUGAGAGUGAAGUAAAAGAGACAGUGUCUCAAAUGUGGUGCCUUUAACUGGUCUUUCCCUUUCUAUUAGGAGAUCUUGUAGACAGAAAAAGUCAACACUGGCGUUUAUUGAUUUUACAGAGGGAAAACCCAGCAUCAUAUUUGCACCAGUUGUUACAAGUGGGCUUGCUGUAUUCCUGAAAGAGCUGAUAACAGAGCACCAUACUCUUUUCAGACUGCUGUAUGACACAAAUCUCAUUCUGAAAACUUCAUUUUAUGAUACAUUAUCCGAGGGUGAUGAUUUUGUUUGGACCUCUGUAUAGACUCUGGUGCAUGUGAUUUGAAGCCAAGCACAAUCCAUUUAAAAGACUAGCACAUGCAGUUUGUAACUUCAAAAAUGUGUUAAACACAUUGGCUUUUAAACACCAGGUUCAACAGAUGUAAUACUAUACACAUUGUGAUAAUCUGUCUAAGAAAAUAGAUGUCACCAAUGCCUAUCUUGUUAGUGUGGGGUCAUUGAAAAAAGCAGAUGUCUUGUUGGAACAACUUGAUGUUUACCCUUGAAAUUGACCUUUCUUUGACUAGUACUAUCUUUGUGGUGUCUCACAGUGUUGAUGUGUAUGGCCAGAGUUAGAACUGGUUCUGUAGUGCCACUGAGAACAGACCAUAGAGAAGAGCCUUUGUUUGGUGAAGUCAUUCAUAUCUUGCAACAGGCAGAUAAUGAGUCAAUUCUCAUGUUUGUGAGGAUCCUAGUAAAGUAUUUUGACCAUUUUUAUACCUUUGCAGUGCAGAGAACAAAAUAAUAUCAACUGAUUACAAUGACUGAAACAUAAGAUUUUUGGCCUUUAGAUAUUAUGACAAGCUUUGAUACUAGUGAGCUGUAUUUGAACCCAAGGUACAAAAUUGCAUAGCUUGGAUUUUAAUUUCAUUAUACACUGUAAAUAUGUUUGCCCUUUGGAUGCAACUACACGAUGACAAUUGUUUCCAAUUAGAUGUUUUAUGUUUUUCAUUACUGUGUUCUGUCUGGACAUGAUUAUUUCAGAAUAGAUAUUUUAAAUUGAAUUACAUUGUUUUUGGGGUUGUGGACAUCUUAACAAUCAGUUAAUCAAACAGUUAGAAAGUUAGCUAGAUAAGUGGGAAAAAGAUACAGCUAUUUUGUAAUAUUGAUGUGAGUCCCUAAAACAAAAAUAGUCUUGACACAUGAAUUUAGUGAUUCAAAUUGAUAAUUGGUUUAAAUGUAAUUUAAGACACUUAGAAGAUACUAAACAUUUUACAUAACUUGGCUAAUUUAUAAUAAUUUGCCAAUCCGCCAAUGUGAUUUAGAUUUGUUUGAAAGUG